AAGCUGAACGGCCGCGUCGGGAGAUAUCCCGAUGAGGAAAGUCCGGGCACCAGAGAGCAGGAUAACGGAUAACCUCCGCCGGGGGUAACCUCAGGACAAGUGCAACAGAGAUAUACCGCCCGCCCUUCUGGACGGGUAAGGGUGGAAAGGUGGGGUAAGAGCCCACCGGCCUUCCGGGAGACCGGAGGGUCCUGUAAACUCUAUCCGGUGCAACACCCGAAUUGCCGCGUCCCCUCCGGGGACAGUGCUUGCUCGGCACGGCAGAAGUCGGUGGCUUGAGCCUUUCGGCGACGGAAGGCCUCAGAUAGAUGGCCGUUUUCGACAGAACCCGGCUUACAGGCUCUCCUG
rnacentral:RNase_P_RNA from 1 species